GUACAUGGGCCAAUAUGUGGGGAUUUGCACGGGAGGCACAAAAGCCCAGUCCACGGCCUAAAACCAGUUAGCACGGCCACACGACACCCAAUCCUUCGACCUCGUCGUACUCGUACAGGAAGACCAGAACAUCCCCAAUCGAGCGGAGCAGCAGCGAGAGUAACCUAGCCGUCGCCGGCUCGCCGCCACAAAGCUCCGCCUCGCCGGGCCGCCGCCUCGUGGCCGAAGAGCUCUGCCUCGCCGGGCCACCGGCCGCGGGCACCUAUGGGCGAACGGAAAGAAGCAACGGUGCCGAGCGUGGCCUGUGUGGGAGGAGGCAGCGGCGGCAGUGGAUCGAGAUCGAGCUCAUGCAAACGCGCAUCUGCUGUUUGCAAAAUCAGCAAGCGCAGCCAGCAGGGGAUCUUUAAGAAGAUGAAGCCAAUUGCUGCUUAUUUUGGAACUCCACCAUCUAAUGAAUUUCAAGCUCCUGUUCAUGUUCCUGAACCUGAUGCGAACAUUUUAUCCACUGAAGCCUCAGAUGCAAACAUUGUAGAAGAUCUAGUUCCUGAACCUGAAGUGUAUAAUGAGGGCUCUCAUGAUAACACUUUACAAACUUCUAUUCUAGGAUUUAGUUGCUUCGUUUUGUAUUAAAAGGGAGAUACCAGUGCCUAGUAUGGAUGAGAAUAUACCAGCAAGGGGUUACCCAAGGAGUUCCCGCAAAAUGGUUAGUUGCUUCCAUCACUACAAAGUUGAAAUAUUCAAUGAGGUUCUUGACAGAAACAUAGCUGAGAUGAAUCACCGGUUUAGUGAAACUUCAACAAGGUUAUUGAUAUGCAUUGCUAGUCUAGAUCCAAGAGACUCAUUUGGCAGAUUUAAUCAUGAGAACCUACUUGAGCUUGCAUCUAUGUACUCAGUCGAGUUCGAUCCAGAAGAACAAUAUCAUUUGGAUGGUCAACUCAAGAUAUACAUUGAUAUGAUGAAAAGGUCUGAUGUUUUUUGCAGUUGUGGCAGUCUCGCUAAUCUUGCUCUCAAGUUGGUUGAAACUAAGGAACAUUUACACUUUCCUUUGGUUUACCGGCUCAUCACACUUACUUUGACUUUGCCAGUAGCGGCGGCAUCUGUUGAAAGAGUUUUCUCAGCCAUGAAUAUCAUUAAAACAGAUUUGAGAAAUAAGAUAUCUGAUGAUUGGUUGAAUGAUAUGAUGAUAUGCUAUGUAGAGCGAGAUAUAUUUGCUGGAACUGAUGACAAGAAGAUCAUAGAACAUUUUCACAGCUUGAGAGACCAUAGAGGCCAUCUACCCAACCCUCCCUGUAUACUUACGACUUAGGGUAUCUUUUAGUCAUGGAGUUGGACAUUUUGGGCCAUGGAAUGAAUUAUUCAAGCAGCGGGAGUCCAAGUUAGUAGUUAUGUGUGACGUUUAUGUUAUAUUUUGUGAUUUUAGGUGGUUACAACCUAGUUCUCGAGAAUCUUGAAAUGUUCUGAAUCAUUGGUCAUGUAAAUUCUCGAGUGCAUCUAGCUUCAUAUUUGAAUUUUAUGGGAUUUGGUUCAACGGACUUGCAUUCGUCGAUCAAUUUUUUUAUACCUUCAA